UUCCCCCAAUUUCUAAUCCUUCCUCGAUACUCAUCACUCGUCCUCUCUCUUCUCCCUCUCGUCUUCCCUCUCCAACCGUGACAAUACCCGCCCCAUCAGAGGAUCCUUAUCCCCAAGGAUCAAACGACAGAAAUUGCCCUCGCAACACCGAAUAAUCUUCCAGGUGUCAUGCAUCUCGUCCAGGAGGAUCUGUGAAAGUUGUUGCUUCAGGCCCAACAUGCUUCUUCAUAAACUGACAUGAAAGAUAGGGUGCAAUCUCGAGGAAUCUGGGCGAGAGAAGUCUGUCGAUAUGGCUGCAGUUUCAGGUAAACGAAAUC